rnacentral:rRNA from 1 species
GGAGUUAGCCGGUGCUUCUUCUGUGAGUGAUGUCCUUCCUGCCGGCUAUUAACCCGCAGGCCUUCUUCCUCACUGAAAGUGCUUUACAACCCGAAGGCCUUCUUCACACACGCGGCAUGGCUGGAUCAGGGUUGCCCCCAUUGUCCAAUAUUCCCCACUGCUGCCUCCCGUAGGAGUCUGGGCCGUGUCUCAGUCCCAGUGUGGCUGAUCAUCCUCUCAGACCAGCUACGGAUCGUCGCCUUGGUGAGCCGUUACCUCACCAACCAGCUAAUCCGACAUAGGCUCAUCCGAUAGCGCGAGGCCCGAAGGUCCCCCGNUUUCCCCCGUAGGGCGUAUGCGGUAUUAGCCUGGGUUUCCCCAGGUUAUCCCCCACUACCGGGCAGAUUCCUAUGCAUUACUCACCCGUCCGCCGCUCGCCACCAGGGAGCAAGCUCCCCGUGCUGCCGCUCGACUUGCAUGUGUAGCUCGCCGCCACGCGUCAUCUGAGCCAUAACUACAACUACUGA